rnacentral:pre_miRNA from 1 species
GAUAUGUUUGAUAUAAUUGGUGGUUAAUGGUUAAAAGUCCACCAAGUAUCAAACAUGUCAC